rnacentral:rRNA from 1 species
AACGAACGCUGGCGGCAGGCCUAACACAUGCAAGUCGAGCGCGCCCUCCGGGGUGAGCGGCGGACGGGUGAGUAACGCGUGGGAACGUGCCCUUCUCUGCGGAAUAGCCCCGGGAAACUGAGAGUAAUACCGCAUACGCCCUUUGGGGGAAAGAUUUAUCGUAGAAGGAUCGGCCCGCGUUGGUUUAGGUAGUUGGUGGGGUAAUGGCCCACCAAGCCGACGCUACAUAGCUGGUUAGAGAGGAUGGGCAGCCACACUGGGACUGGGACACGGCCCGGAAUCCUACGGGAGGGAGCAGUGGGGGAUCCUAGACAAUGGGGGCAACCCUGAUCUAGCCAUGCCGCGUGAGUGAUGAAGUCCUUAGAGUUGUAAAGCUCUUUCAGCUGGGAAGAUAAUGACGGUACCAGCAGAAGAAGCCCCGGCUAACUCCGUG